rnacentral:rRNA from 1 species
GACGAACGCUGGCGGCGUGCUUAACACAUGCAAGUCGAACGGAAAGGCCCCGCUGUUGUGGGUUGCUCGAGUGGCGAACGGGUGACUAACACGUAAGUUGCCUGCCCCUGCCUUUUGGAUAACUUCAGGAAACGGUGGCACAUGCUAGGUAGCCGUUCCUCAUGCAGGGUGUUGGUAGGCAUGUUUCGGUGGUUGGGGAUGGACUCGCGGCUUAUCAGCUGGUGGGGGGGGGAGUGACUUACCAAGGCUUUGACGGGUGGCCGGCCUGAGAGGGUGACCGGCCACAUUGGGACUGGGAGACGGCCCAGACUCCUACGGGAGGCAGCAGGGGGGAAUAUUGCACAAGGGGCGGAAGCCUGAUGCAGCAACGCCGCGUGCGGGAUGACGGCCUUCGGUUUGUAAACCGCUUUAGCCGGUGACGAAGUGUGAGUGACGGUAAUGGGUAAAGAAGCACCGGCUAACUACGUG